UUCGGAUUGCAGUCUGAAACUCGAGUGCAUGAAGCUGGAAUCGCUAGUAAUCGCAGGUCAGCAUACUGCGGUGAAUACGUUCCCGGGUCUUGUACACACCGCCCGUCACACCAUGGGAGCCGGAAAUGCCCGAAGCCAGUGACCCAACCUUAGGGAGGGAGCUGUCGAAGGUGGAGCCGGUAACUGGGGUGAAGUCGUAACAAGGUAGC
rnacentral:rRNA from 1 species